UUAUAAAUAAACAUUUUAAGAGAAACAAACAGGCUGGCGCGAAAACUAAGAGAGAAAUAUAUCAAACUAUGUUGGUUCUUUUGCGAUAAUCCUGUAUCAGCUUUUCUUUGAUUUGGUAUAGUACAUGUGUACUUGUGUAGCACAGAUAUGUUUGAAGCAAACCAAAGAGCAGUACUAAUAGUAAAAGACAAAGUGGAAAAAUUAAAAGAGUUGUUCCCAGAUAUAAUUACGAACAGUAGAAUAUUUGUUCGAUACGAGAGUCUGCUUAAUGUAAUAGGGUUGGACGACGUAACCGAACUUAUAACAGAUGAAGACGGGAAUUUAAAAAAAAACACUGUAUAAACAGAACGACCUGCGGGUGUGAAAACUGGAAAACGACCAAAAUGGAAGAAAAAAAAUAUGGACAGCUUCCAGUUCACAUGCUUAAGAAUACUCGACGUCAAGUGAUUGCAAAGAGUCUGAAAUGACACAAUUGAGACGACAACGAGCGUCUGUGACGAAAUAAGGCACAGAUGUUGGGACAUCGAGAAAACGAUCGUAUGGUGGCACUAAAGUGGAAGACCGAGGGCAAAAGAGCAUCAGGGGCUGAUCUAAAACCACAUAGCGAAGGACCAUUGACAAAGAAAGAUGAGAAGAGUGGAGAAGCUGGAAUGAGAGCAGAAUAGUGACAGAAAACAGAACAAGUCGGAGAGAUCGUGUUUCGGUCUUAUGUCUCUCAUGGCUGUUGUUGGCACUCCGUCGCUAACGACGUCGAGGAUUCCAGUUGAUCCGAUCAACGGAACAGCCUGCUCAUGAAAUUAACGUGCAAGUGGCCGAGCGCUCCACAGACACGUGUACCCUUAACGUAGUUCUCAGAUCGUGUUUCGGUCUUAUGUGUCUCAUGGCACGGAGAGAAUAAACAAACUAUUAGUGGUGAUGGUAAUUAUAAGUGAAUUAAGGGCGGUUAUGAGUUGUUAGAAGUGGUUAUAGAAAGUUAUGGGUAGUUACGGGUAAUUAUAAAUUUUAGGUGCCAACAACGUCGUGAAAAUUGACGAACGCUUGCGGGGAAAUCGCAAUAAAAUAUGUAAAAUCGA
rnacentral:lncRNA from 1 species